rnacentral:rRNA from 1 species
UACGAAGGGUGCAAGCGUUACUCGGAAUUACUGGGCGUAAAGCGUGCGUAGGCGGUUUGUCGCGUCUGCCGUGAAAGUCCGGGGCUCAACUCCGGAUCUGCGGUGGGUACGGGCAGACUAGAGUGAUGUAGGGGAGACUGGAAUUCCUGGUGUAGCGGUGAAAUGCGCAGAUAUCAGGAGGAACACCGAUGGCGAAGGCAGGUCUCUGGGCAUUAACUGACGCUGAGGAGCGAAAGCAUGGGGAGCGAACAGG